GCCACUGGAAAUUCAACCAAGGGCUUCGCGCACUCAGGCAGGUGCCGAGAGCAGCCGCCGCCGCCGCCACCGCCGCCCGCGGGGAGCCCAGACCACCGGGUGACGCUCCAAGUGGCGGCCACCAGCGAGUGCCACAACUUCCGAGAAGCUGCAACACGCCGAGCCGGGGGGGUUCGGCGACAGAGGAACUAGCGGCGGCUCGGGGGGGUGGGGGAGCCCAGCACGUGCGUCCCGGCGGCCGCUUCCCCGGGGCUGCAACGGCGCGUCCCGGGCCAGGAACUGCAGGCGGACGCCGGGAUCGGCCCGGGUCGGAAGCUCGGGCACGGGUGCGGCGGGACCCGGCGACCCAGGUAGAGCUCGGACCCGUGUCUCGUAGAACCCGCCUGGCAGAGAGGCUGCACGAGGGAAGCGAUGCCCGAUGCCGAAGGCGCUUCACAGACAGGAGCGCCCCGUCAACCUGGGACACCCCCAGCCCGGAGCUAAUGACAAGCGUGUGCAAACGGGGACCCCUCGGGCCAAGACCCGCGUCUGCAAAAGUGCUUUUGCUGGUAGCCGACCUCAGCACCUAUUGUUAUGUAGGAACUGUGCGCUCAAGUGCUAAAGAGCGGGACUACCUUGCAGUCUGAAUGAAGACGAACCCCCCCCCCAAUAAAGCAAAACCCAGAACGAAACCUCUCUUCUCUUUUUAGUAGGCAAGAGCAAAAAGAAUUUUUAAGAAGCAAAUGCAGUUUCCACCUUGGCACAAACGAAAUUAGGGAAACGGGACCUGCAGAGGGGAGACCAGUGACGACGAGACCAAAUGGAUUCCAUCCAAGGUGCAUGCGACCUGACGCUGACACUUGAUUCUGUCACAGCAGCGGAGGCCGGCCAACUGCAGGUCAUACCUGAUGAUGGUUGGGGUCCAUUCCCGAUGCUGUGCUCAACAGUCACUCUGGCUGGUGCUGGACAAUCAAUCCUGCGCUGCCAGGAAUCAAUCCUGCACCUCCUGAACGUGACACAUGUGCUCAGCCCAUUGAGGGCAAACCAAGAGGGAAGGAGAAAGAAAGGGAGUUUCCUACUCCGCAUCUGAGAGGCUCUGGAGGUCAACCGUCCGACUGAUUCUGCAAUUCUUAGUUUCAUGUUAUAUUCAUCUGCUAGUGCGGCCUUGAAAACGUAUCACAGCCCUUAGUGGUACAUGCUGCAGAAAUGUAUUACGUAUUUCAGCAGGACCAAGAGAAAUGAGAAACGCUGGAUUUUCCAAAACUUAUAUUGUCUUCUGAAAAGAUAUUAAAAUCCCUCACAGCAUUCCAUUGUUUUAAAG